GCGCUAGUGGCCAAGCGGUAAGGCGUUCCACUCGUACAGAGUAGCUAUUCUUGACAUGGAAAGAUCCUCGGUUCGAUCCCGAGCUGGCGCA